UAGAGUUUGAUCCUUGGCUCAGAUUGAACGCUGGCGGCAGGCCUAACACAUGCAAGUCGAACGGUAGCACAGAGAGCUUGCUCUCGGGUGACGAGUGGCGGACGGGUGAGUAAUGUCUGGGAAACUGCCUGAUGGAGGGGGAUAACUACUGGAAACGGUAGCUAAUACCGCAUAAUGUCGCAAGACCAAAGAGGGGGACCUUCGGGCCUCUUGCCAUCGGAUGUGCCCAGAUGGGAUUAGCUGGUAGGUGGGGUAACGGCUCACCUAGGCGACGAUCCCUAGCUGGUCUGAGAGGAUGACCAGCCACACUGGAACUGAGACACGGUCCAGACUCCUACGGGAGGCAGCAGUGGGGAAUAUUGCACAAUGGGCGCAAGCCUGAUGCAGCCAUGCCGCGUGUAUGAAGAAGGCCUUCGGGUUGUAAAGUACUUUCAGCGAGGAGGAAGGUGUUGAGGUUAAUAACCUCAGCAAUUGACGUUACUCGCAGAAGAAGCACCGGCUAACUCCGUGCCAGCAGCCGCGGUAAUACGGAGGGUGCAAGCGUUAAUCGGAAUUACUGGGCGUAAAGCGCACGCAGGCGGUCUGUCAAGUCGGAUGUGAAAUCCCCCGGGCUCAACCUGGGAACUGCAUUCGAAACUGGCAGGCUGGAGUCUUGUAGAGGGGGGUAGAAUUCCAGGUGUAGCGGUGGGAAUGCGUAGAGAUCUGGAGGAAAUACUCGGGUGGGCGAAAGGCGGCUCUCCUGGACAAAGACUGACGCUCAGUGCGAAAGCGUGGGGAGCAACAGGAUUAGAUACCCUGGUAGUCCACGCCGUAA
rnacentral:rRNA from 1 species